GGGAGAAACAAAAGGUUUAAUAUUAUUAUUUUGGCAUCUUAAGUCGGUCGGGAUCUCACGGUCUUAUUUUGUUAAGGAUUUCAUUUCCUAUGUUUUUCUAGGACACGCCCAUUAUUUUUCCUGGGCCAUUAGCUCAGGUGGAUAGAGCGAACCCCUGAUAAGGGAGAGGUCCCUGGUUCAAGUCCAGGAUGGCCCAUAUCUCUAUGUUGAGGGUAUAGCUAAUUUGGAAGAGCGCCUGCUUUGCAAGCAGGAUGUCAUAUAUUCGAGUCCGCUUACCUCCACUGAUUACCACCUCUUCCAUAACUGGUAAAAAGGAAAUGUUUUGAGUUGAGAUUAUUAUUCUGAACGAAUCUAGCUUCCUAAUGAAAUCAAUAAAAUGCUGGACUCAUUGAAUUAAUUUCAUUGUUUUCAGAGAACCUUGACAACUGCAUAGAUUUUUUUAAAGACAAUAAGCAUCUUUAAUGAUGCAGAUUUAUUAUUUGUGCGAAUGCAUUAAUAACAAUUCUAUUAAGCUGAUGCUUCAAUUUUUGAAGUUAUU
rnacentral:tRNA from 1 species